CUCGUAUCACCAUCUGACCCGGAAGCAUGUUCGCUCUAUCUCAUCCUCAGAGAAGUGCCGGAUGCGGAAACAAUGCAGAUAAUCUGUCGCUUUAAAAAUUUAACUUUUGAGUUCUUAUAAACUUUAUCUGCAUCCUAACGAUAAUGAAGCUGCGCGUGCAGCUGCAGUGUAAGAACCUGCAUGAAUACCUGAAAGAGCUGAGUCCUGAGAUCCUGGACAGACUGUACAACCAUCCAGCGACAUGCCUGGCUGUCUACAGGGAACUCCCCUCUCUGGCUAAGAACUAUGUGAUGAGGAUGCUGUUCCUGGAUCAGCCUCUCCCCCAGGCAGCGGUGGCUCUGUGGGUGAAGAAGGACAGUCAGAAGGAUCAUGAUGAGUGUGUGUCCGUGUUAGCGGGACUCCGUCUGUGGCACAGUCAGCAGCUGCAGGGAGGUCUGCAGGGCUACAUCCUGAACCCCAUCUUCAAAGAGAACCUGAGGAUCGCUCUGCUGGGAGGGGGCAAAGCGUGGGCAGACGAGGGCGCCAGUCUGGGUCCGGACCGCCACGCUCGGGACAUCGAAAGUCUUGACAAAUACGCGAUGGAGCGCUGGGAGGUGAUCCUGCAAUUCAUGGUGGGAUCUCCGUCCGCCGCGGUCAGCCAGGACCUCGCUCAGCUGCUGGUUCAAGCAGGACUCAUGAAAAGCGAGGCAGGAGAGGCUCCCUACAUCACCUCAGCUGGUUUCCAGUUCCUCUUACUGGACACGGCCUCUCAGCUGUGGUACUUCACCCUGCAGUACCUCAAAACUGCUCAGUCCAGAGGGAUGGACCUGGUGGAGAUCUUGUCCUUCUUAUUCCAGCUCAGCUUCUCCACGCUCGGCAGAGAUUACUCUGUGGAGGGAAUGAGCGAGUCUCUGCUCACCUUCCUGCAGCACCUGAGGGAGUUUGGACUCGUCUUCCAGAGAAAGAGGAAGUCGAGGCGGUACUACCCGACCAGACUGGCCAUCACUCUGGCUGCAGGAGUCACCAGCUCCUCCUCCUCCUUCUCCACCUCUUCUUUAGCUACCACUCCUGGUACGGGAGACCCGGGCUACAUCGUGGUGGAAACAAAUUAUCGAAUCUACGCUUACACAAACUCCGAGCUUCAGAUUGCUCUGGUGGCUCUGUUCAGUGAAAUGUUGUACCGCUUCCCCAACGUGGUCGUGGCUCAUGUCACCAGAGAGUCGGUGCAGCAGGCCAUCGCCAACGGCAUCACCGCUCAGCAGAUCAUCCACUUUCUGAGGACCAGAGCUCACCCUGUCAUGCUCAAACAGACUCCGGUCCUUCCUCCGACCAUCACAGAUCAGAUCAGACUGUGGGAGCUGGAGAGAGACAGACUGCAGUUCACUGAGGGUGAGACACAUGUUCAUUAUUAACUUUAUUUCCACAGCACACAGGUUACAAAGUGUUUAAUAUGAGCUCAGCCCGGGUGAUCCCGAAUCUAAAGUUAGAAGGAGGACAUACUGGCUGCUGCAUUGUUGUCAGAGAAGCCAGCACUUCAACAGAGCAUGUUUCCUUAAUGUCUGAUCAUAUAGUAAGGUUACUUUAUCAUUUCACUCACUGCACAUCUCACUGAUUGAUCCUUUAAACACUUCAUUCUGAAUUUAUUUUCCAAAGCUUCUUCACUUUGUGAUAGUGUCGAUCAUCAGAAUAACAGAUUGUAUCGUAAAGUAUCCAAGUAAUAAAAUGUCAACAUCCUAAGAAGUUUCUGACUGACAGUUGUUGGUUAAGUUGACAUCAGUCAGUCAGAGGAGCUGAGCUGAAUAGAGAAGAGUGUUGACCUUCAUCUCUUACCUGACUGUGUGUGUGUGUGUGUGUGUGUGUGUGUGUGUGUGUGUGUGUGUGUGUGUGUGUGUGUGUGUGUGUGUGUGUGUGUGUGUGUGUGUGUGUGUGUGUGUGUGUGUGUGUGUGUGUGUGUGUGUGUGUGUGUGUGUCUGUGUGUGUGUGUG